GAUGAACGCUAGCGGCAGGCUUAAUACAUGCAAGUCGUGGGGCAGCAGGUCUGUAGCAAUACAGAUGCUGGCGACCGGCAAACGGGUGCGGAACACGUACACAACUUUCCUUUAAGUGGGGAAUAGCCCGGGGAAACCCGGAUUAAUACCCCAUAAAAUAAUGAAGUGGCAUCACUUUAUUAUUAAAGCUCCGGCGCUUAAUGAUGGGUGUGCGGCUGAUUAGGCAGUUGGCGGGGUAACGGCCCACCAAACCUACGAUCAGUAACUGGUGUGAGAGCACGACCAGUCACACGGGCACUGAGACACGGGCCCGACUCCUACGGGAGGCAGCAGUAAGGAAUAUUGGUCAAUGGACGCAAGUCUGAACCAGCCAUGCCGCGUGGAGGAUGAAGGUCCUCUGGAUUGUAAACUUCUUUUAUCUGGGAAGAAAUCCACCUUUUCUUGGGUGGUUGACGGUGCCAGAUGAAUAAGCACCGGCUAAUUCCGUGCCAGCAGCCGCAGUAACAC
rnacentral:rRNA from 1 species